CCUCCAGUACCACCUACCACUCCCGAAAAAGAAAAGACCACUGCAAAAUGAUUUUAAAUGUCUUUUCUGGUUUUAUGUUUUGUAGGUGCAAGAUUGGAAAUUCAACACGUUUCUGCUGAUGACAUUUUCAAAUGUUUCAGACUUUGAAUGACUGCAAAUAAAGGUGGACAAUACUGACAAAAGCAGUUCAAGAACUGAACGAAAAGUUGAGAUAUUUUGAUGGAUCCGGCAGCAGCUGUCUCCGCCACCUGAGUCACAUCUCUACGUUCUGCUCAGAUCGACACUGAAGGGGGGAGCACUGGGGUGAUGAGCAGUUAGCGCUUCAAUCAAGGA